rnacentral:rRNA from 1 species
UACGUAGGCAGCGAGCGUUGUUCGGAGUUACUGGGCGUAAAGGGUGUGUAGGCGGUUGUUUAAGUUUGGUGUGAAAUCUCCCGGCUCAACUGGGAGGGUGCGCCGAAUACUGAGCGACUAGAGUGCGGGAGAGGAAAGUGGAAUUCCUGGUGUAGCGGUGAAAUGCGUAGAUAUCGUAAGGAAGACCAGUGGCGAAGGCGAGUCUCUGGACAGCAACUGACGCUGAGGCACGAAGGCCAGGGGAGCAAACGGG